rnacentral:rRNA from 1 species
AUUGAACGCUGGCGGCAGGCCUAACACAUGCAAGUCGAACGAGUGGCGGACGGGUGAGUAAUGUCUGGGAAACUGCCUGAUUGAGGGGGAUAACUACUGGAAACGGUAGCUCAUACCGCAUACCAUCGGAUGUGCCCAGAUGGGAUGAGCUUGUUGGUGGGGUAACGGCUCACCAAGGCGACGAUCCCUAGCGUGUCUGAGAGGAUGACCAGCCACACUGGAACUGAGACACGGUCCAGACUCCGACGGGAGGCAGCAGUGGGGAAUAUUUCACAAUGUGCGCAAGCCUGAUGCAGCCAUGCCGCGUGUAUGAAGAAGGCCUUCGUGUUGUAAAGUACUUUCAGCGGGGAGGCGUUACCCGCAGAAGAAGCACCGGCUAACUCCGUGCCAGCAGCCGCGGUAAUAC